rnacentral:rRNA from 1 species
AAUCAACGCUGGCGGCGUGCCUCAGACAUGCAAGUCGAACGAUUAAGACUUCCUUCGGGAAGUGCAUAAAGUGGCGCACGGGUGAGUAACACGUAAGUAAUCUACCCUCGAGUGGGGAAUAACAUCGGGAAACCGAUGCUAAUACCGCAUAACGCAGCGGCACCGCAAGGUGACAGUUGUUAAAGGAGUAAUUCGCUUGAGGAGGAGCUUGCGGCAGAUUAGCUAGUUGGUAAGGUAACGGCUUACCAAGGCUACGAUCUGUAUCCGGUCUAAGAGGACGGUCGGACACACUGACACUGAAUAACGGGUCAGACUCCUACGGGAGGCAGCAGUCGGGAAUUUUGGGCAAUGGGCGAAAGCCUGACCCAGCAACGCCGCGUGAAGGAUGAAGUAUUUCGGUAUGUAAACUUCGAAAGAAUGGGAAGAAUAAAUGACGGUACCAUUUAUAAGCUCCGGCUAACUACGUGCCAGCCGCCGCCGUAACAC